AAUAGAUACCCGGGUAGUCCACGCCCUAAACGAUGUUCACUAGGUGUCGGGGGGUAACCUCCGGUGCCGCAGCUAACGCAUUAAGUGAACCGCCUGGGGACUACGGCCGCAAGGUUGAAACUCAAAGGAAUUGGCGGGGGACCGCACAAGCGGUGGAGCAUGUGGCUUAAUCGAUGCAACGCGAAGAACCUUACCAGGGCUUGACAUGUAUCUGCAAGCGAUAGAAAUAUCGUCGCCUUCGAGGGUGAUACACAGGUGGUGCAUGGCUGUCGUCAGCUCGUGUUGUGAAAUGUUGGGUUAAGUCCCGCAACGAGCGCAACCCUCAUUGUCUGUUGCCAGCGAGUAAUGUCGGGAACUCGGACAAAACUGCCUCUGUAAGGAGGAGGAAGGUGGGGAUGACGUCAAGUCAUCAUGCCCCUUACGCCCUGGGCUGCACACAUGCUACAAUGGCCGGUACAAAGGGUUGCUAACCCGCAAGGGUAUGCUAAUCUCAAAAAACCGGUCUCAGUUCGGAUUGAGGU
rnacentral:rRNA from 1 species